AGAUUGAACGCUGGCGGCAUGCCUUACACAUGCAAGUCGAACGGCAGCACGGGAGCAAUCCUGGUGGCGAGUGGCGAACGGGUGAGUAAUAUAUCGGAACGUGCCCAGUCGUGGGGGAUAACGCAGCGAAAGCUGUGCUAAUACCGCAUACGAUCUAUGGAUGAAAGCGGGGGAUCGCAAGACCUCGCGCGAUUGGAGCGGCCGAUAUCAGAUUAGCUAGUUGGUGGGGUAAAAGCCUACCAAGGCGACGAUCUGUAGCUGGUCUGAGAGGACGACCAGCCACACUGGAACUGAGACACGGUCCAGACUCCUACGGGAGCAGCAGUGGGGAACUUUUGGACAAUGGGCGCAAGCCUGAUCCAGGCAAUGACCGCGUGCAGGAUGAAGG
rnacentral:rRNA from 1 species